rnacentral:rRNA from 1 species
GGGUUGUGAGGUUAAGCGACUAAGCGUACACGGUGGAUGCCCUGGCAGUCAGAGGCGAUGAAGGACGUGCUAAUCUGCGAUAAGCGUCGGUAAGGUGAUAUGAACCGUUAUAACCGGCGAUUUCCGAAUGGGGAAACCCAGUGUGUUUCGACACACUAUCAUUAACUGAAUCCAUAGGUUAAUGAGGCGAACCGGGGGAACUGAAACAUCUAAGUACCCCGAGGAAAAGAAAUCAACCGAGAUUCCCCCAGUAGCGGCGAGCGAACGGGGAGCAGCCCAGAGCCUGAAUCAGUGUGUGUGUUAGUGGAAGCGUCUGGAAAGGCGCGCGAUACAGGGUGACAGCCCCGUACACAAAAAUGCACAUAUUGUGAGCUCGAUGAGUAGGGCGGGACACGUGGUAUCCUGUCUGAAUAUGGGGGGACCAUCCUCCAAGGCUAAAUACUCCUGACUGACCGAUAGUGAACCAGUACCGUGAGGGAAAGGCGAAAAGAACCCCGGCGAGGGGAGUGAAAAAGAACCUGAAACCGUGUACGUACAAGCAGUGGGAGCCUCUUUUAUGGGGUGACUGCGUACCUUUUGUAUAAUGGGUCAGCGACUUAUAUUCUGUAGCAAGGUUAACCGAAUAGGGGAGCCGAAGGGAAACCGAGUCUUAACUGGGCGUUAAGUUGCAGGGUAUAGACCCGAAACCCGGUGAUCUAGCCAUGGGCAGGUUGAAGGUUGGGUAACACUAACUGGAGGACCGAACCGACUAAUGUUGAAAAAUUAGCGGAUGACUUGUGGCUGGGGGUGAAAGGCCAAUCAAACCGGGAGAUAGCUGGUUCUCCCCGAAAGCUAUUUAGGUAGCGCCUCGUGAAUUCAUCUCCGGGGGUAGAGCACUGUUUCGGCAAGGGGGUCAUCCCGACUUACCAACCCGAUGCAAACUGCGAAUACCGGAGAAUGUUAUCACGGGAGACACACGGCGGGUGCUAACGUCCGUCGUGAAGAGGGAAACAACCCAGACCGCCAGCUAAGGUCCCAAAGUCAUGGUUAAGUGGGAAACGAUGUGGGAAGGCCCAGACAGCCAGGAUGUUGGCUUAGAAGCAGCCAUCAUUUAAAGAAAGCGUAAUAGCUCACUGGUCGAGUCGGCCUGCGCGGAAGAUGUAACGGGGCUAAACCAUGCACCGAAGCUGCGGCAGCGACACUGUGUGUUGUUGGGUAGGGGAGCGUUCUGUAAGCCUGUGAAGGUGUACUGUGAGGUAUGCUGGAGGUAUCAGAAGUGCGAAUGCUGACAUAAGUAACGAUAAAGCGGGUGAAAAGCCCGCUCGCCGGAAGACCAAGGGUUCCUGUCCAACGUUAAUCGGGGCAGGGUGAGUCGACCCCUAAGGCGAGGCCGAAAGGCGUAGUCGAUGGGAAACAGGUUAAUAUUCCUGUACUUGGUGUUACUGCGAAGGGGGGACGGAGAAGGCUAUGUUGGCCGGGCGACGGUUGUCCCGGUUUAAGCGUGUAGGCUGGUUUUCCAGGCAAAUCCGGAAAAUCAAGGCUGAGGCGUGAUGACGAGGCACUACGGUGCUGAAGCAACAAAUGCCCUGCUUCCAGGAAAAGCCUCUAAGCAUCAGGUAACAUCAAAUCGUACCCCAAACCGACACAGGUGGUCAGGUAGAGAAUACCAAGGCGCUUGAGAGAACUCGGGUGAAGGAACUAGGCAAAAUGGUGCCGUAACUUCGGGAGAAGGCACGCUGAUAUGUAGGUGAAGCGACUUGCUCGUGGAGCUGAAAUCAGUCGAAGAUACCAGCUGGCUGCAACUGUUUAUUAAAAACACAGCACUGUGCAAACACGAAAGUGGACGUAUACGGUGUGACGCCUGCCCGGUGCCGGAAGGUUAAUUGAUGGGGUCAGCGCAAGCGAAGCUCUUGAUCGAAGCCCCGGUAAACGGCGGCCGUAACUAUAACGGUCCUAAGGUAGCGAAAUUCCUUGUCGGGUAAGUUCCGACCUGCACGAAUGGCGUAAUGAUGGCCAGGCUGUCUCCACCCGAGACUCAGUGAAAUUGAACUCGCUGUGAAGAUGCAGUGUACCCGCGGCAAGACGGAAAGACCCCGUGAACCUUUACUAUAGCUUGACACUGAACAUUGAGCCUUGAUGUGUAGGAUAGGUGGGAGGCUUUGAAGUGUGGACGCCAGUCUGCAUGGAGCCGACCUUGAAAUACCACCCUUUAAUGUUUGAUGUUCUAACGUUGACCCGUGAUCCGGGUUGCGGACAGUGUCUGGUGGGUAGUUUGACUGGGGCGGUCUCCUCCUAAAGAGUAACGGAGGAGCACGAAGGUUGGCUAAUCCUGGUCGGACAUCAGGAGGUUAGUGCAAUGGCAUAAGCCAGCUUGACUGCGAGCGUGACGGCGCGAGCAGGUGCGAAAGCAGGUCAUAGUGAUCCGGUGGUUCUGAAUGGAAGGGCCAUCGCUCAACGGAUAAAAGGUACUCCGGGGAUAACAGGCUGAUACCGCCCAAGAGUUCAUAUCGACGGCGGUGUUUGGCACCUCGAUGUCGGCUCAUCACAUCCUGGGGCUGAAGUAGGUCCCAAGGGUAUGGCUGUUCGCCAUUUAAAGUGGUACGCGAGCUGGGUUUAGAACGUCGUGAGACAGUUCGGUCCCUAUCUGCCGUGGGCGCUGGAGAACUGAGGGGGGCUGCUCCUAGUACGAGAGGACCGGAGUGGACGCAUCACUGGUGUUCGGGUUGUCAUGCCAAUGGCACUGCCCGGUAGCUAAAUGCGGAAGAGAUAAGUGCUGAAAGCAUCUAAGCACGAAACUUGCCCCGAGAUGAGUUCUCCCUGACUCCUUGAGAGUCCUGAAGGAACGUUGAAGACGACGACGUUGAUAGGCCGGGUGUGUAAGCGCAGCGAUGCGUUGAGCUAACCGGUACUAAUGAACCGUGAGGCUUAACCUUACAACGCCGAAGCUGUU